CCUACGGGUGGCAGCAGUGGGGAAUAUUGGACAAUGGGCGAAAGCCUGAUCCAGCCAUGCCGCGUGUGUGAAGAAGGCCUUCGGGUUGUAAAGCACUUUCAGUGGGGAAGAAAGCCUUGGGGCUAAUACCCUCGAGGAAGGACAUCACCCACAGAAGAAGCACCGGCUAACUCCGUGCCAGCAGCCGCGGUAAUACGGAGGGUGCGAGCGUUAAUCGGAAUUACUGGGCGUAAAGCGCGCGUAGGCGGUCUGAUAAGCCGGUUGUGAAAGCCCCGGGCUCAACCCGGGAACGGCAUCCGGAACUGUCAGGCUAGAGUGCAGGAGAGGAAGGUAGAAUUCCCGGUGUAGCGGUGAAAUGCGUAGAGAUCGGGAGGAAUACCAGUGGCGAAGGCGGCCUUCUGGACUGACACUGACGCUGAGGUGCGAAAGCGUGGGUAGCAAACAGGAUUAGAUACCCUGGUAGUC
rnacentral:rRNA from 1 species